rnacentral:misc_RNA from 1 species
AAGGAGAAUGGUACACAAUUGCACAAGGAGUGAAUGAGCAUAGAAUACGGUCACGAAGAGCUAUGCAGAGACAGGUAGUGGUCUUUUUAAUGAAGAAGGAUAUUCUACAAUUAUUUGAUGUUAUUUCAACAAGGGAUUUAUGUAUCAACAAUGUUUCUUUCUUUUUUUUGUCGGUUGAUUACUGUAACUCCACGACAAAUACUAUGGUUAGAACCGCACAAUGAAAGACUCUCCUGACAAUCUCAUAAACAAGCGACUCUAUGAUACCGCAUCGGUUAGGACCUAUACAAUUGUUUUCAUUGGCCGGAAAUACUUGAGCUUCCAUACAUCUACUUGUCGUUCAUAUCUCAGAAGCAUGGGCUGUACAAGUAGAUGAUUUUGGUUACAGUCUGUACAAAAUUAUUACUG